rnacentral:rRNA from 1 species
UACGUAGGGUGCAAGCGUUGUCCGGAAUUAUUGGGCGUAAAGAGCUCGUAGGCGGUUCGUCGCGUCGGCUGUGAAAUCCCGAGGCUCAACCUCGGGUCUGCAGUCGAUACGGGCGGACUGGAGUUCGGCAGGGGAGACUGGAAUUCCUGGUGUAGCGGUGAAAUGCGCAGAUAUCAGGAGGAACACCGGUGGCAAAGGCGGGUCUCUGGGCCGAUACUGACGCUGAGGAGCGAAAGCGUGGGGAGCGAACAGG